GUACGGGAGGCAGCAGCAAGGAAUUUUCCCCAAUGGGCGCAAGCCUGAGGGAGCAACGCCGCGUGCGGGACGACGGCCUUCGGGUUGUAAACCGCUUUGGGGUGGGACGAUGAUGACGGUACCACCCGAACAAGCCCCGGCUAACUCUGUGCCAGCAGCCGCGGUAAGACAGAGGGGGCAAGCGUUGUCCGGACUGACUGGGCGUAAAGCGCACGCAGGCGGUCGCGGGCGUCGGUGCUGAAAGGCCACCGCUUAACGGUGGUACGCGUGCCGAUACGCCGCGACUGGAGCGGUGCAGAGGCCAGGGGAAUUGCCGGUGUAGUGGUGAAAUGCGUAGAGAUCGGCAGGAACACCCAAGGGGAAGCCACCUGGCUGGGCACCGGCUGACGCUCAUGUGCGACAGCGUGGGGAGCGAACGGGAUUAGAUACCCUAGUAGUCC
rnacentral:rRNA from 1 species